UAGUGAAUAGAAGGCUUGCCUUGGAACCAGUUUCUCUAGGAAACUCUCUAAAUCCAUAUUUUGGUAUCAAACUUGAACCCAUUCCCCAUUCCACUCAACACAGAUUGUUGAAGCACCAUAGAGACACAGCCCAACAACCUGGCUAAGACUGAAAAAGGACCUCGGAUUUGUUUUCUGUUUCAUAGCCUGAGCUUCUUUUGAAACAUUUUCUACGGGAGAAAAUAUCCCAUGGCACUAGAACAAUGGAGCCAAGUGUUUGUUUCUUCUUGAAUGCUUGACCUUGUACCAGAUGGAGAAACUGAAACACACGGAAGUUAAGGUACUUGCUCAAUGUCUGGCAGUGAAUCAGUGAAAAGGAAAAGAAUCCU